CCUUUCUUUCUUUCUUUUUAAGUUCAUUUAUUUUGAGAACUAGAGAGAGUGUGUGAGCAGGGGAGGGGCAGAGAGGGAGAGAGAGAAUCUCAAGCGGGUUUGGCACUGUCAGGGCAGAGUCUGACUCAGGGCUCUAACAAACUGUGAGAUCAUCACCUGACCUCAAGUCAAGAGGCGCUUAACCAACUGAGCCACCUAGGUGUCCCAUCCUCUUUCUCUUUCUUUCUUAUCAGUGUGUGGAUGUCUUAGUCCACCUGUGUUACCAUAACAAAAUGUCAUAGACUGGAUGGCAUAAACAAAAAUUAAUUUUCUGACAAUUUUAUUAGAGUUGGAGACUUCCAAGUCACAGCUUCAAAAGCAAUUUGAGAUUUGUUUCAGUUGUUUGAAAUUUUUGUGGUUAAAAUAACAUUUAUGCAAAAUAAAUUCAUGUUGAAUUUUAUGAAAGUGUUUGUGUUUAGGGGUGCCUGGGUGGCUCAGGGUGUCCAACUCUUGAUUUCAGCUCAGGUCAUGAUCUCACAGUUCCUGUGAUUGAGCCCCACCUUGGCUCUGUGCUGACAGUGUGGCACCUGCUUGGGAUUCUUUCUUUCCCUCUUUGCCCCACCCCUGCUUGGUGCACAUGCACUCUCUCUCAAAGUAAAUAAACUUAAAAAAAAAAGUGUUUAGAUGGAAGGAUUACUCUAAGUGAUAAAAGUAAUAGUAUAGUUUGUCUUUCCCUUUUUUAAGAAAACUAAUUUUGUCUCAGUUUUAGAUACAUAUUCUUUGUCAAAGUAAAGGCUGUAUUUGUCAGAUUAAGGCAUUUCCAGAUACCUUUUUGAUAAAAGUUUUCAUGGAGUGAAGUCAUUCUUGAAUUCUUAGAAUAAAUCCCUCUUGGUCAUAGUGAAUAGUACUUUACAUUUGUAAUGGUAUAUCAACCAAGAUUUUACUCAGAGUUGUAUGUCUUUUCGGUGAGACUUGCCUGUAUUUGUUUAGAAUUGUCCUGGUUAAGUUUGGGGGCAUCAAAGCCAUAUUUAUUUUACAAAAUGUGUUUAUGAUUGUUCUAUACAUUUCAUUGUUUUGAAACCAUAUGGGAUUAUUCUUUGUAAAUUGGGGUGGAUGUGUGUUUGAGAACCAGGUGGCUUUUUAGAGUGGUUGCUGAAAGGCAUAUUUUUUGUGAAUCUUUCUUUUUCUGUGUUAAUAUUUUGUUCACAUUCAAAAUGUUUGUCAGUUUAGGUGUCUUUUAAAAAAACCUUUUACGUAAUACAUCUCAUUAUUUAUGACGUUAUUAAUGUGUAAGUAAACUGAGGGCAUGGUUUGCCUCAGUUUUUAGUUUCUUUUCUUUUUCCUGCCUUUAGUUUACUUAUUCUUUGUCUUAACAGUUGAGUCUGUGACUUUUCAAUUUUAUUUUAGUUUCAUGUUUCUCUUCCUUUUUGUUUCAGGUUUUUUUGUUUGUUUGUUUUUUACUUGUUUAUUUUUAGAGAGAGAGAAUCUUAAGCCUCCCUGCUCAGUGUGGAGUCCAAAGCAGGGUUUGAUCCUACCAUCCUGGGAUCAUGACCUGAGUCGAAAUCAAGAGUGGAUGCUCAACUGAUUGAGCCACCCAGGCACCACAUGUUUGAGUUCUUUAGUUUUGUUAGUGUUUCUUUUUUGUUGUCAGUACGUUUUAUCAUUUAAAGUUCCUUUGGCUUUAGGGCACCUGGGUGGCUCAGUUAAGUGUCCAACUUCGGCUCAGGUCAUGAUCUCACGGUUUGUGGGUUCGAGCCCUGCAUCGGGCUCUGUGCUGACAGCUCGGAUCCUGGAGCCUGCUUCUGAUUCUGUGUCUCCCUCUCUCUACCCCUCCCCUACUCACGCUGUCUGUCUCUGUCUCUCAAAAAUAAAUAAAUGUAAAAAAAAAAAAAAACUUCUUUUGGCUUUUUUUUUUUUUUUUAAAGCUUCUGUAUUUUGAGAGAGAAAAUCCCAAGCAGGCUCCACACUGUCAAGAGUUGGGUGCUCAACAGACUGAGCCACCCAGGUGUCCGUUAAAGUUCCUUUUUGACUUUUCUUAAUGAUACAGGAAUUUGGGUGAUUAAAAAAAAAAAGUUUUAAAUUAAGGAUAUAGUGUCUUUGUGAAAAAUUUUUUAGUACAGAAAUAAUAGAGUAAAAUUUUUUGAUACUUACCCUUUCCUUCCUCCCCUGAGUCCUCAUCUUCUCUUUCAGAGGGAACUUUCAACAAUUUUUUCUAUGCAUUUAUAUAUUUAGUAAAUACAGAAACUUUCAGUUUAUGAAUUUCCAUAAAUAACAAGGGUAUAGCCACACUGAAAGCAUUUUAGCUCUGUGUGUGAUGAUAGUUGUUGUAAAGGAAAGCUUGUGCAGUAUCCCAAGAUUUAAGGAGAGCAACUUUUUUCAAAGUUUUAUUUAAGUAAUCUAUAUACCCUAUGUGGGGCUUGAAGUCAGUGACCCCAAGAUCAGGAGUUGCAUGCUUUCCAACUGAGCCAGCCAGGCGCCCCCAGAGUAUUUUCGUUGCUCUGGAAAUCUGGUGUCAUCCUGUCCAUCUCCCCACCACCACCACUGCUGACCUUUCUGCUGUCUCCAUAGUUUUUUUUUUUUUUUUCCAGAAUGGCCUAUAAUUGGAAUUGCACAAUAUGUAGCCUUUUCAGAUUGGCUGCUUUCACUUAAUAAUAGGCAGUUAAGCUUCCUCUGUAUCUCUUCAUGGCUUGAUAGCUGUUUCUUUUUAUUGCUGAAUAAUAUUCCACUGUCUGGAUUUACCACAGUUUAUCUAUUCAUCUACAAGUAUGUCUUGGUUGCCUCCAAGUUUUGGCAAUCAUGAAUAAAGCUGCAAUAAACAUCUACAUACAGGUUUUUGUGUGGACGUAAGUUUUCAACUCCUUUUGGGUAAAUAACCAGGGAGUAUGAUUGUUGUAUUAUAUGGUAAGAGUAUGUUUAGUUUCUUGAGGAACUAACAUUGUGUCUUCCAGAGUCACCGUAUAAUUUUGUAUUCCCACCAGCAAUGAUUAAGAGUUUCUGCUGCUCCACAGUUUGCCAGCAUUUGGUCCAGAUUUUGGCUAUUCUAUUAGAGACAGAGAGACAGCACAAGCAGGGAAGGGCAGAGACAGAGGGAGACACAGAAUCCAUGAAGCAGGCUCCAUCCAGUCUCUGAGGUGUCAGCACAGAGCCCGACAGGCUUGAACUCACAGCAAGAUCAUGACCUGAGCCAAAGUGGGAUGCUCAACCAACGGAGCCACCCAGGCGCUCCACCUCAUAUAGUUCUUUUACAUAUUUUGUUAGAUUUAUACUUCAGUAUUUUAGGUUUUUUGGUGCUUAUGUUAAGUGGUAUUGUGUUUUUAAUUUCAGAUUCCACUUGCUCAUUGCUGAUAUAUAGGAAAGUGAUGGACUUUUGUAUAUUAAUCUUAUAUCCUUUAACCUUGCUAUAAUUGCUUACUAGUUCUAGGAAUUACUUUUGUCAUUUCUUUCAGAUUUUCUACAUAGAUGGUCAUGUCAUUUGUGAACAAAGACAGUUUUAUUUUCUCCUUCCUAAUUUGUAUGGCUUGUCUUUUUUUCUUAUGGCAUUAGCUAAAACUAGUAUAAUGUUGAAAAGGAAUGGUUAGAGGGGAUAUCCUUGCCUUGUACCUGAUCUUACUGAGAAAACUUUGAGUUUCUGACUAUUCAUUGUGAUGUUAGCUGUAAGUUUUUUUGUAAAUAUUAUCAAAUUGAGAAAGUUCCACUCUA